rnacentral:rRNA from 1 species
AACGAACGCUGGCGGCAUGCCUAACACAUGCAAGUCGAACGAGACCUUCGGGUCUAGUGGCGCACGGGUGCGUAACGCGUGGGAACCUGCCCUUAGGUUCGGAAUAACUCCCCGAAAGGGGUGCUAAUACCGGAUAAUGUCUUCGGACCAAAGAUUUAUCGCCUUUGGAUGGGCCCGCGUUGGAUUAGCUAGUUGGUAGGGUAAAAGCCUACCAAGGCGACGAUCCAUAGCUGGUCUGAGAGGAUGAUCAGCCACACUGGGACUGAGACACGGCCCAGCCUCCUACGGGAGGAGGAGGGGGGAAAUAGUGAACAAGGGGGAAAAGCCUGACCCAGCAGGGCCGGGUGAGUGAAGAGGGACUUGGGGUGGAAAAUCUUUUUUCCCGGGGAUGAUAAUGACAGUCCCGGAAGAAUAGGCCCCGGCUAACUCGGUC